GAUGAACGCUGGCGGCGUGCCUAAUACAUGCAAGUCGAGCGAACAGACGAGGAGCUUGCUCCUCUGACGUUAGCGGCGGACGGGUGAGUAACACGUGGAUAACCUACCUAUAAGACUGGGAUAACUUCGGGAAACCGGAGCUAAUACCGGAUAAUAUAUUGAACCGCAUGGUUCAAUAGUGAAAGACGGUUUUGCUGUCACUUAUAGAUGGAUCCGCGCCGCAUUAGCUAGUUGGUAAGGUAACGGCUUACCAAGGCAACGAUGCGUAGCCGACCUGAGAGGGGGAUCGGCCACACUGGAACUGGGACACGGUCCAGACUCCUACGGGAGGCAGCAGUAGGGAAUCUUCCGCAACGGGCGAAAGCCUGACGGAGCAACGCCGCGUGAGUGAUGAAGGUCUUCGGAUCGUAAAACUCUGUUAUUAGGGAAGAACAAAUGUGUAAGUAACUAUGCACGUCUUGACGGUACCUAAUCAGAAAGCCACGGCUAACUACGUG
rnacentral:rRNA from 1 species